rfam:Brachypodium distachyon strain Bd21 chromosome 1, whole genome shotgun sequence.
CUUAUACUCUCUCCAUCCAACAAAAGAUAUUUCAAAUUUGUUAAAAUUUGAAUGUAUCAAGACAUGAUCGAUUUAGUGUAUAGAUGCAUUCAAAUUUAGUCAAAGUUAAGACAUCUUUUGUUGAAUGGAGAAAAUAAAUG